AGCGAACGUUUGCGGCGGGCUUAACACAUGCAAGUCGAACGAGAAUCCCUUCGGGGAGGAAAGUGGCGCACGGGUGCGUAACACGUGGAUAACCAACCCAUUGGUUUGGGACAACACCGGGAAACUGGUGCUAAUACCAGAUGUGUCGCAGCUGUCUUCAGGCGGUUGCGAGAAAGGCCCGCAAGGGUCGCCAACGGACGGGUCCGCGUCCCAUCAGCUAGUUGGUGAGGUAAUGGCUCACCAAGGCAAAGACGGGUAGCUGGUCUGAGAGGAUGAUCAGCCACACUGGAACUGAGACACGGUCCAGACUCCUACGGGAGGCAGCAGUGGGGAAUAUUGCGCAAUGGGCGAAAGCCUGACGCAGCCACGCCGCGUGAGCGAUGAAGGUCUUCGGAUCGUAAAGCUCUGUGGGGGGGANAAGAAGAAAGCCGGUGAAGAGCCGGCCCUGACGGUAUCCCCUUAGCAAGCACCGGCUAACUCCGUGCCAGCAGCCGCGGUAAAG
rnacentral:rRNA from 1 species